rnacentral:snoRNA from 1 species
AUGCCAUGAUGAGGACACUUACGAAGUAACUCCUUGAAUCGCUCCCAAACCUCAUACAAAGACUCGUCAUCCAAUUGUUGGAAAGGUGUCAUCUCGUUCCUCAACCU